GCCAGGCGUUUGGCGGGCACCUGUGGUCCCAGCUACUUGGGAGGCUGAGGCAGGAGACUUGCUUGAGCCCAGGAGUUGGAGGUUGCUGUGAGCUGUGAAGCCAUGGCACUCUACCUAGGGGGAUAGCUUGAGACUCUGUCUCAAAAAAAAAAAAAAAGAUAGAGUUAUGUUGCCCUCGGUAGAGUGCUGUGGUGUCACAGUUCACAGCAACCUCCAACUUUUGGGCUUAAGCGAUUCUCUUGCC
rnacentral:sRNA from 1 species